rnacentral:rRNA from 1 species
ACACGUAAGGGGCAAGCGUUGUUCGGAAUGAUGGGGCGUAAAGGGCGCGUAGGCGGUUUUACAAGUCUGGUGUGAAAGGCCUCAGCUUAACUGAGGGACCGCGCUGGAAACUGUAAGACUAGAAUCUAGGAGGGGAAGCUGGAAUUCCUGGUGUAGGGGUGAAAUCUGUAGAUAUCAGGAAGAACACCGGUGGCGAAGGCGAGCUUCUGGCCAUAGAUUGACGCUGAGGUGCGAAAGCGUGGGGAGCGAACAGGAUUAGAAACCCUAGUAGUCC